GUAGCAGGUUGUUCCAUCGUCCCGCCGUAGGCGGGAAGGAAAGUCCGGGCAACACAGAGCACCAUGCUUCCGAAAAGGAAGAUACCCGUGAGGGUAUAGUACCGGAGCAGAAAACAACUACCCCGCUCAUUGAAUUGACGGGGCAAAGGUGAAAAGGUGAGGUAAGAGCUCACCAGUAUUUCGGGUGACCGGAAUAGCUGUGCGGACUCAUGGGUUGCAAGACCAUGUAUACCGGCGUUUAAGGGUUGCUCGCCCGAAGCCGGGGGGUAGGUCGCUCAGAUAAAUGAUGGAAAUCCGGCACAGCCGGAGAACAGAACCUGGCUUACAAACCUGCUGCAUCU
rnacentral:RNase_P_RNA from 1 species